rnacentral:tRNA from 1 species
UGGCUCAGUUGGUAGAGCAUGGCACUUGAAAUGCCAGGGUUGUGGGUUUGUUUCCCAC